rnacentral:rRNA from 1 species
UAGCGGAGGGGGCUAGCGUUGUUCGGAAUUAGCUGGGCGUAAAGCGCACGUAGGCGGCUUUGUAAGUUAGAGGUGAAAGCCCGGGGACUUAACCCCGGAAUAGCCUUUAAGACUGCAUCGCUUGAACACGGGAGAGGUGAGUGGAAUUCCGAGUGUAGAGGUGAAAUUCGUAGAUAUUCGGAAGAACACCAGUGGCGAAGGCGACUCACUGGACACGGAUUGACGCUGAGGUGCGAAAGCGAUGGGGAG